AGCCCGGCUGCUAACAAUGAGGAGA
rnacentral:miRNA from 1 species